AACCUAUCUUAGGCCCGCAGGAAGGGAACAAAUUCAUCUGUAGGGCUCCAUCAUGAAUGACAACAUGAUCAAACGAGCGGAACGCCCAGGCUUUUGCUUGAUAGGAAGUAAAGUGGUUGUGCUAGUGAAUCGCUACAUCACAUAUUUUUGCCCAGAAACAAUUAUCAAUAUGUACAAGUUUUCUGUGACUCCCGAGACAAAAUCAAAAGCUAUUAAAGGAGCAUUAGUAGAAGAAC